GACGAACGCUGGCGGCGUGCCUAAUACAUGCAAGUCGAGCGAAUCAAUGGGAGCUUGCUCCCUGAGAUUAGCGGCGGACGGGUGAGUAACACGUGGGUAACCUGCCUGUAAGACUGGGAUAACUUCGGGAAACCGGAGCUAAUACCGGAUAAUUUCUUUUCUCGCAUGAGGAGAGAUGGAAAGGUGGUUCUGCUAUCACUUACAGAUGGACCCGCGGCGCAUUAGCUAGUUGGUGAGGUAACGGCUCACCAAGGCGACGAUGCGUAGCCGACCUGAGAGGGUGAUCGGCCACACUGGGACUGAGACACGGCCCAGACUCCUACGGGAGGCAGCAGUAGGGAAUCUUCCGCAAUGGACGAAAGUCUGACGGAGCAACGCCGCGUGAGCGAAGAAGGCCUUCGGGUCGUAAAGCUCUGUUGUUAGGGAAGAACAAGUACGAGAGUAACUGCUCGUACCUUGACGGUACCUAACCAGAAAGCCACGGCUAACUACGUGCCAGCAGCCGCCGUAACAC
rnacentral:rRNA from 1 species